UACCGCGUGAGGGAUGACGGCCUGUGGGUUGUAAACCUCUUUUCUCAAGGAAGAAGUUCUGACGGUACUUGAGGAAUAAGCAUCGGCUAACUCUGUGCCAGCAGCCGCGGUAAU
rnacentral:rRNA from 1 species